rnacentral:rRNA from 1 species
UACGAAGGGGGCUAGCGUUGCUCGGAAUCACUGGGCGUAAAGGGUGCGUAGGCGGGUCUUUAAGUCAGGGGUGAAAUCCUGGAGCUCAACUCCAGAACUGCCUUUGAUACUGAGGAUCUUGAGUACGGGAGAGGUGAGUGGAACUGCGAGUGUAGAGGUGAAAUUCGUAGAUAUUAGGAAGAACACCAGUGGCGAAGGCGGCUCACUGGCCCGGUACUGACGCUGAGGCGCGAAAGCGUGGGGAGCAAACAGG